UUUUUCCCUCUUUACCCCUUGGAGCCAGGAUGCCAGAAUAUUGUUCCAAACAUCAGAGCAACAAAGAUUGUAAACAGAAACAUGACUGCUGUGUAUGGAGGAUUUCUCCAGUAUGGUCACAGAUCAGUGCUGUUUCCAGAGUUCUGCAGAGUCGAUUCCAAGAAGUUCCCUUCUUGUGCUGCAGCAGUGAUCUCCAACAUCCAUGUCGCAGGAUUAUAACCUUCUUUUGUCUAAGCUGCCGUAGCAUUUAGUGCUGAGAUUGGUUCAUCCAUGAAUCUUGUGGAAGGACUGGAAACAAGCUCAACUGCAAUUGUAAGUCUCUUUCGCUAUUCAGUUGAUAGACCAUUCACUCCAGGCAAGCCAACUACUAAUUAUCUUCAUGGGGUUAACUCUACAAGCUCCAUGACCUCUUCAAUAUACAUCUGCAGCAUCAAUAUAUAGUUUAGGAGCUAGUUUCUAUAAGCAUUACCUGAGUGGUUUUUCUUAUUUCUUAAAUUUACCCUUCUAGUUGCACUGUCAACUUCCUGAGGCAACUGAAGCCAAGCAGAAUAUUGCAAGGAUUCAUAUACUGUGUCACAUGUGGUGAAUGAAUGUCAGUUUGCUGACAGUAUCCUGCUAUUCAAGCAAAUGUUUCUUGCUUCAUGGGGUACCCUGAUAUAGGUGAUGCUUCCUUCUAUAUGUCCACCAGUUUUCCUUCUGGCUAAGACAUCUAUCAUGGUGGUCUUACCAGCUCCAGUAACACCCAUAAGAGCUGUCAAAACUCCAGGCCUAAAAGCACCACUUACACCUUUCAAGAGUUCAAGCCGAUCCUCAGUAAACCUGAUCUUUCAUUUCCUGGAGUCACAACACUAUUUUUAUUUUGUGCAGGAUAGGAGAUCAGAUCGAAACAAGUAGAGCUUUUAUUGUCUGCAGCAUUCACUUUAGAAGUAGUUUCAAACAGGUAUAUCACUGUAAAUUUUCCAAUGAGUAAUAUUGCAACUUAAAGGGGAUCAAAAGGAAGAAUUGUUCCUCUUUUCUUGUUCGUGUUUGUAUCGGCCCCGUUGAUGCUUCCUACUCUUGAGGACAUAAACCUGGAAGAUACACUUCGUAGAACUUCAUUUCCUCCUGCCUUUUUGUAAACUAUAUCAAAAGAUCUCCUUUCUCCUGUUGAUAAUUCAGUAGCUUCACCCCUUGUGUUGGCUAUCCUUGUCUGUCACAGUUUCUUCAGAUAGAAUUGGCUGAGGUUUCCCAAAAGCUGCACAAAUAGCUCUCCCACAUAGUCAAUGUGUAUUCCUAUUAUAGAUGGUAUAGAGAAUAAGUUGCAUAACACGGGUUUCUGAAUCCUUACGGUUGAGAUAAGUUAGGGCCACUGAAAAAAGGAAAUUGAAGAGCAAAACAUAUCCAAGAAGAGCUCCUACUCCUAACUAAUACCAGCUUACUGAUGGAAAGAGUCCACACAAUUUUAAGUGUGUUUCACCUAAGGUAUCUGUGGAGUUUGGAGGAAACUACAAACCAAAGAGAAAGGUGAGCUUUCAAUGAUGCAGCCUCGACAGUUUUUUUUUCGUUUUAAUAGAAGUUCAUAGUCUCUUAUUUACAUGCGCCCAACUCUUCCCGAGAAAUUCAUUGACAGCAAUGGCAUUUUGUGCAUAUAUCAAAGGCAAAAACCAGCAGCCCCAUAUCCACCAUUCUGACAGGGUGAACAUAUAAGUUGUAUAUUGUACUUGCAGUUUCUCAACACUGCUUGAAAUGUUACCUCUAGAUACAAUGAAUCCACCCAUAACCAUAACUGUAAGUAGUGCAAAUGAUCCUAGUGUGUUUGCAACUAUUAGAUUUCUUCCAACAGCUGCCAAUAAGCAAAA